rnacentral:rRNA from 1 species
GUGGGGAAUAUUGCACAAUGGGCGCAAGCCUGAUGGAGCAACGCCGCGUGAGUGAAGAAGGUCUUCGGAUCGUAAAACUCUGUUGUUAGAGAAGAACACGAGUGAGAGUAACUGUUCAUUCGAUGACGGUAUCUAACCAGCAAGUCACGGCUAACUACUUGCAAG